AGUAUCUGUCGGGCAGGAGUGGUACAGACAGCAGGCCUAUCGAGCUGUGAAUCAAGCCAUUGGCAGAGUGAUCCGUCACAGAGAAGACUACGGAGCCAUCUUCCUCUGUGAUCACAGGUUCAGUGGCACCGAAGCCUGUAAUCAGCUUCCUCCUUGGGUGAGGCCAUAUGUUAAAAUUUAUGAUAACUUCGGUACCGUUGGUCCGUGAUGUGGUUCAUUUCUUUCGGACGGCGCAGAAAACAAGACCAGUUCCUGUUAGGAAAGAAAAAGCAGAGAGCAGUGAGAAGCAGGCAGACACCAGGCCGCUCAACAGAGGCUCCGGCUGUCCUCAUAAGAGUGUCUGGCUCAGUGUGCACAUCUC